rnacentral:rRNA from 1 species
AGUGAACGCUGGCGGUAGGCCUAACACAUGCCAGUCGAACGGCAGCACAGUAAGAGCUUGCUCUUACGGGUGGCGAGUGGCGGACGGGUGAGGAAUACAUCGGAAUCUACUUUUUCGUGGGGGAUAACGUAGGGAAACUUACGCUAAUACCGCAUACGACCUACGGGUGAAAGCAGGGGAUCUUCGGACCUUGCGCGAUUGAAUGAGCCGAUGUCGGAUUAGCUAGUUGGCGGGGUAAAGGCCCACCAAGGCGACGAUCCGUAGCUGGUCUGAGAGGAUGAUCAGCCACACUGGAACUGAGACACGGUCCAGACUCCUACGGGAGGCAGCAGUGGGGAAUAUUGGACAAUGGGCGAAAGCCUGAUCCAGCCAUACCGCGUGGGUGAAGAAGGCCUUCGGGUUGUAAAGCCCUUUUGUUGGGAAAGAAAAGCAGCAGGUUAAUCCCCCGCUGUUCUGACGGUACCCAAAGAAUAAGCACCGGCUAACUUCGUG